AAAGUUAAAAUAAAAAUAAAUUUUUAAAAAAAUUGUGAGAAUUCUUCUGUUGCUUAUUGUCAUGGACAAUUUUAAAUUGCUUAUUUAAAGAAAAAAACACUAAAUAAAAAUAAAAAUAAAAAACACUAAAGUUACUGAUUUGUAACUUCAUUUUAUCUUUGUUGUUGUUAGUAUUGUGCGGUGGACCAAGGAGCAAGUAAAGUGUUUCUUUUGCCCAAGAUUUUGUCAGUGACUGUGAGAGUUAUCCAAAAGGAUGCAGAAGAGAAGAAAGGUGCUUUCAGCCCAAGGGCAUAUUUCAGAUUGUUUCUGAACUGGCUUUUGGACCUUGGUUCCCCUGACCCUGUCCUUGAUAGUUCCAACUUUCAAGUCUUGACAGCAUUUGCGAAUGCUUUCUAUGCAUUACAAACUUUGAAAGUUCCCAGUUGGAGCUUUGCAUGGCUCGAGUUGGUGAGCCACAGAAGUUUCAUGCCAAAAUUGCUAAAAAUCAACUCUCAGAAGGGUUGGCCUUUGGUACAGUGCCUACUUGUUGACUCGUUCAAAUUCAUGGAGCCAUACUUGAGGAAUGUUGAACUUGGGGAAUCGGUUCACUUUAUGUACAAAGGCACUCUAAGGGUGCUCUUGGUAUUGCUUCAUGAUUUCCCAGAGUUCCUUUGUGAUUAUCAUUUCAGCUUCUGUGAUGUGGUUCCACCCAGUUGCAUUCAAAUGCGGAAUGUUAUUCUAAGUGCAUUCCCAUGAAACAUGAGGCUACCCGAUCCUUCUACUCCCAACUUGAAGAUUGAUUUGUUUGCUGAAAUCAGCCAAUCACCACGCAUUCUCUCUAAGGUUGAUGGUGCUCUGAAAGCAAAGCAGAUUAAGGUUGACAUUGAUGAGUAUCUCAAGGGAAGAAGACAAUUAAACUUGAAAUAUGCAUUGGACAGAAUGGUAACACUGGAAAUAUAAAAGCUAUCAAGUGUAGUAUGUCAUCAAGUUUACAAAUGAAGCUUGAUGAGCAGCGGAAAGAACUCUCUUCAUGUCAUGAAGGAAUAUUGUCACAUAUCAUUCAUUCCACCCAAUAGAUCAGCACGUUAAGCGCCGAAAAACCAACUUCCAUGGAGCAGGUAAGGACUAGCCUAGUUCUGACUAUCAUAGGAGUAGUUUUCAAAGGUCUAAUGGUGGGUGAUCCACUCUUCUCAUUGUAUACAAGUGGGGCAAUCCAGAGUUCAAAUCACUACAGCCUUUUGACGCCACUUGUGCUAGCAGUGGACCAUA